GAACUGAAGAGUUUGAUCAUGGCUCAGAUUGAACGCUGGCGGCAGGCCUAACACAUGCAAGUCGAGCGGAUGACGGGAGCUUGCUCCUGGAUUCAGCGGCGGACGGGUGAGUAAUGCCUAGGAAUCUGCCUGGUAGUGGGGGACAACGUUUCGAAAGGAACGCUAAUACCGCAUACGUCCUACGGGAGAAAGCAGGGGACCUUCGGGCCUUGCGCUAUCAGAUGAGCCUAGGUCGGAUUAGCUAGUUGGUGGGGUAAUGGCUCACCAAGGCGACGAUCCGUAACUGGUCUGAGAGGAUGAUCAGUCACACUGGAACUGAGACACGGUCCAGACUCCUACGGGAGGCAGCAGUGGGGAAUAUUGGACAAUGGGCGAAAGCCUGAUCCAGCCAUGCCGCGUGUGUGAAGAAGGUCUUCGGAUUGUAAAGCACUUUAAGUUGGGAGGAAGGGCAGUAAGCGAAUACCUUGCUGUUUUGACGUUACCGACAGAAUAAGCACCGGCUAACUCUGUGCCAGCAGCCGCGGUAAUACAGAGGGUGCAAGCGUUAAUCGGAAUUACUGGGCGUAAAGCGCGCGUAGGUGGUUUGUUAAGUUGGAUGUGAAAGCCCCGGGCUCAACCUGGGAACUGCAUCCAAAACUGGCAAGCUAGAGUACGGUAGAGGGUGGUGGAAUUUCCUGUGUAGCGGUGAAAU
rnacentral:rRNA from 1 species